rnacentral:rRNA from 1 species
UCAAGUCGGAUGUGAAAUCCCCGGGCUCAACCUGGGAACUGCAUUCGAAACUGGCAGGCUAGAGUCUUGUAGAGGGGGGUAGAAUUCCAGGUGUAGCGGUGAAAUGCGUAGAGAUCUGGAGGAAUACCGGUGGCGAAGGCGGCCCCCUGGACAAAGACUGACGCUCAGGUGCGAAAGCGUGGGGAGCAAACAGGAUUAGAUACCCUGGUAGUCCACGCCGUAAACGAUGUCGAUUUGGAGGUUGUGCCCUUGAGGCGUGGCUUCCGGAGCUAACGCGUUAAAUCGACCGCCUGGGGAGUACGGCCGCAAGGUUAAAACUCAAAUGAAUUGACGGGGGCCCGCACAAGCGGUGGAGCAUGUGGUUUAAUUCGAUGCAACGCGAAGAACCUUACCUG